ensembl:snoRNA
GAAUGGCUUGUCCUUUCACUGCUUGGAGCUUCGGCAGUGGGGUUUUGGUCCAUAGUAUACAAAAGUGGCUUGUCUUCACUCAGGGCACCAUGAAGACAGGGUGGCUGUCCAUUAGUACCUUCUGAUUUUUGCAGAGUCAAACAAAA